rnacentral:rRNA from 1 species
UGCCCUAGUAACGGCGAGUGAAGCGGCAACAGCUCAAAUUUGAAAGCUAGCCUUCGGGUUCGCAUUGUAAUUUGUAGAGGAUGAUUUGGGGAAGCCGCCUGUCUAAGUUCCUUGGAACAGGACGUCAUAGAGGGUGAGAAUCCCGUAUGUGACAGGAAAUGGCACCCUAUGUAAAUCUCCUUCGACGAGUCGAGUUGUUUGGGAAUGCAGCUCUAAAUGGGAGGUAAAUUUCUUCUAAAGCUAAAUAUUGGCGAGAGACCGAUAGCGCACAAGUAGAGUGAUCGAAAGAUGAAAAGCACUUUGGAAAGAGAGUUAAAAAGCACGUGAAAUUGUUGAAAGGGAAGCGCUUGCAAUCAGACUUGUUUAAACUGUUCGGCCGGUCUUCUGACCGGUUUACUCAGUUUGGACAGGCCAGCAUCAGUUUCGGCGGCCGGAUAAAGGCUCUGGGAAUGUGGCCUCCACUUCGGUGGAGGUGUUAUAGCCCAGGGUGUAAUACGGCCAGCCGGGACUGAGGUCCGCGCUUCGGCUAGGAUGCUGGCGUAAUGGUUGUA